rnacentral:rRNA from 1 species
AUUGAACGCUGGCGGCAGGCCUAACACAUGCAAGUCGAGCGAGUGGCGGACGGGUGAGUAAUGUCUGGGGAACUGCCCGAUGGAGGGGGAUAACUACUGGAAACGGUAGCUAAUACCGCAUACUAUCAGAUGAGCCUAGGUGGGAUUAGCUAGUUGGUGGGGUAAAGGCCUACCAAGGCGACGAUCCGUAACUGGUCUGAGAGGAUGAUCAGUCACACUGGAACUGAGACACGGUCCAGACUCCUACGGGAGGCAGCAGGGGGGAAUAUUGGACAAUGGGCGCAAGCCUGAUCCAGCCAUGCCGCGUGUGUGAAGAAGGUCUUAGGAUUGUAAAGUACUUUCAGUGGGGAGGCGUUACCAACAGAAUAAGCACCGGCUAACUCCGUGCCAGCCGCCGCGGUAAUUC